GGUGCUGUCUAAAGAAGAGCAGCGCAGGCUGAGGAAUGAGAAGGCCUUACAGGAACACCUGGACAGGGUAAAGAAUCCGGAAUUGACAGGCAAACAGACCAGACAACCACAAUGUAAAGAUUACUCUAUUUUCACUGCAUCAGGGCUAAAGAGCAAGGACCCGCAUGAUCAACAGUCAGCAAAAUGCAAAGAUUUCUCUGUGUUUUCCACGAGCAGUCAAGGCGUGGCCAAGGUCCCCAGG